rnacentral:piRNA from 1 species
UUUUUUCGUGAAAGCUUUACU